rnacentral:rRNA from 1 species
GAUGAACGCUAGCGGCAGGCUUAACACAUGCAAGUCGAGGGGUAUAGUUCUUCGGAGCUAGAGACCGGCGCACGGGUGCGUAACGCGUAUGCAAUCUACCUUUUGCAGAGGGAUAGCCCAGAGAAAUUUGGAUUAAUACCUCAUGGUAUGUGAGAAUGGCAUCAUUUUCACAUUAAAGUCACAACGGCAAAAGAUGAGCAUGCGUCCCAUUAGCUAGUUGGUAAGGUAACGGCGUACCAAGGCAACGAUGGGUAGGGGUCCUGAGAGGGAGAUCCCCCACACUGGUACUGAGACACGGACCAGACUCCUACGGGAGGCAGCAGUGAGGAAGAUUGGACAAUGGGCGCAAGCCUGAUCCAGCCAUGCCGCGUGCAGGAUGACGGUCCUAUGGAUUGUAAACUGCUUUUGUACAGGAAGAAACACUGGUUCGUGAACCAGCUUGACGGUACUGUAAGAAUAAGGAUCGGCUAACUCCGUGCCAGCCGCCGCGGUAAUAC